ensembl:lncRNA
AAAUAUUUCUUGAGCACCAAAUCAGCAUAUUCAAAUGAUUUCUGAAGGACACUAAAUGUGACACUAAAGACUGGAAUAAUGAGUUAGCUUUGUCAUGACUGGAGUAAAUUACAUUUUAAAAUAUAUUAAAUAGAAAUAUGCUAUUUUAGCAAAAAUAGUGUUAAAAAUAAUUUGUAUUUAGAUAAAUGCCUUGUUGAGCUUGCAUAUGUAUAUGUUUUAUAUUAAUAAAAAUUAAACAUGCCUUGCUUAACAGAGAAUAGUGUAUAGAGAAUAAUGUUGUGGUUAUUUGUGAGAAACACAAUGUUUUCAUACCUUUAGCAUCACAUUUCUCUCUCUUAUUCUCACUCUCGCUCUCUCAAAAAAUCUCAUUUUAGAGCCUAAUUUGCCAGAUGUUUCGUGGGAUGUCAGACAGACAAGUUCACUUCACAUUUUCUACUGUGGCAGUUCAUUUUUCCGUUCAAUACAGAUAAGCAAUUAGCCUCUGGAGAAUACAGUUCACACCAAUACUAAUGGUGCCGGUUUGCGUGUGAGAUUGGAGUAGUCCACAUAUCAUGGCCACAGAAUAACUGUGUGCUUCAACAGAUGUACAAAACAUUGUUCAGUGCUGUUUUUUCUUAUUAGGAAUACAGGUCACAGUUUUCAGUAUGUGUGCCUUGAUUUUAAUUUUAGACACUUCUGUAUUUAUUACAGCAAAAGAUGUCCUUGGUUUCAUGUGAACUUCCUUCACCUGUCUCACUCACGGCUUAUCCUUUAUUACAGACCCGAUUCUCAGAUCUGAUCUGCUGAUUAUUAUUGGGCGCAACUUUCCAAGAAAUGAAACAUGAAGGUCAAGAUCAAGUUAGAGAAAUUAAGCAACGCCCCUGCUGCGGAUCGGCAUGCCCCACACAGAGAGAUGGACUCCCAGUAAAAGCUAAUGUAUGUCUUCACUCAUUCCUCUCUCACUUUGUUUCCAUAAACAUCACUCUCAGUCUAAUUUCCAGCCGCCUAUUUUAUGUCCCCCGUGUGCUCCGCAGCCUUCACCCUCCGUGUUCUCCAGCUGCUACAAUGGCCAUUCUAGCUCAAAGGACUUGUCAACAACUGGGAAAACUGAAAGCCCUUUUGUUGUGAGUUUGUCUGCAUUAUCUAAAGUGUCCUCAAACCACUCAAUGAAGAACAGGGGUGGACUAUCUGUCAGCCCUGUGCUGUAUAAAAUGUGACUUUUAGCAUUAGUUUGAAUUGUUUGGUUCAAUAAAUGACAGCAGCACUGAUUCUCUGAAAAAUAA